CGAACGCUGGCGGCAGGCUUACACAUGCAAGUCGAGCGCUGUAGCAAUACAGAGCGGCAGACGGGAGAGUAACACGUGGGAACGUACCCUUCGGUUCGGAAUAACUCAGGGAAACUUGAGCUAAUACCGGAUACGUCCGAGAGGAGAAAGAUUUAUCGCCGAGGGAUCGGCCCGCGUCCGAUUAGCUAGUUGGUGAGGUAACGGCUCACCAAGGCGACGAUCGGUAGCUGGUCUGAGAGGAUGAUCAGCCUCACUGGGACUGAGACACGGCCCAGACUCCUACGGGAGGCAGCAGUGGGGAAUAUUGGACAAUGGGCGCAAGCCUGAUCCAGCCAUGCCGCGUGGGUGAUGAAGGCCUUAGGGUUGUAAAGCCCUUUCGGCGGGGAAGAUAAUGACGGUACCCGCAGAAGAAGCCCCGGCUAACUUCGUGCCAGCAGCCGCGGUAAUACGAAGGGGGCUAGCGUUGCUCGGAAUCACUGGGCGUAAAGCGCACGUAGGCGGAUCUUUAAGUCAGGGGUGAAAUCCUGGAGCUCAACUCCAGAACUGCCUUUGAUACUGGAGAUCUCGAGUUCGGGAGAGGUGAGUGGAACUGCGAGUGUANAGGUGAAAUUCGUAAAUAUUCGCAAGAACACCAGUGGCG
rnacentral:rRNA from 1 species